CACACACACACUUUUCACACAAGUGCUUAACCCGAACCCUUAAACCAGGUCAAAAAGCCCUUAAAGAAGUUAGGUGAGGACCAAAACCACAAAUACAAAAACUUGUCUCAACACCUGUAGUCCUUGAUAGACCUAACCCUAACCCUUAAUGCCUGACCUCAUUAAGACCAGGAUUUGGUCACCAUGAGGGCUUCCGGUCCUGACAAGGUCAACGAGGGACACAUUUGGUUUCCAGACUGGCUCUGGGUCAGGGGUCACAGGGUGGGUGGUGUUGGUCCUGAGAUCUCCACAAAUGUUACUAAGGAAAAAGAAAUAGUGGUUAAUCUGAAGUACGACCGCGUGGAUUUUCUCUCCUGUGGCGACUGUGACAGCUUGAUUGACAGCAUGACUUGCAGCAGGUCACUUUUGACAGGAACUCACAGUCCUGCCGAGUUAUUUUUGGAACCCCCGCUGUUGACGACUCGGUGAAAAGUGCCGACUUUACCCCGACAGUGAUUCACUGAGAAACGCCAUAGUAAAAGCAGGUGGUUAAACACAGAACAGCUUUAGAUCCAGAAGAUAUCGCAAAUGUUCCUUUGAGGUUCUGGCCUGUGUUGACACGACUUAACUCCUUUGUAGUUAGUCAUUAGAAGAUAGUACGUUUGACCAGUGGCGCUCAUUCCAGUGUGAGUCCAAGACACAGAAGUCUUCCUGGAAGAUUAAUGAUGCACCUGCAGGUCGACCAAACCUCAUGAAAAGUAACAUUUUGCACCUUUAACACUUUAAACAAUUGGCUGUUAGGGAAUAACAUGACAGACUAUUGUGUUAAACUGUACAAACACGCAAAUUAAGAAAUGAUUCAGAUCGAUUUGACGCACAACUAUAAAAUAAAAUUGUACUAUGGGCAAAUGAGAAACUGA